AAGACUGUACUUUCAGGGAUCACUUCUAUAAUUUGUUACUAGAGAAGUUUCUCUGAACAUGUAGAGCACCUGAAACUAUGAGGAGAUGAAGUGUUCCCUCCUGAGUGUGAAGUUGGCUCUUGGUGAUGCUUCAUAACUUCCAUAUGCCAUUGAUGAUUGUUCUUCUCUUCCUUUUGAGAGAGUAAGAGGGAGAGAACACCAUCUGAGUGGU